GACGAACGCUGGCGGCGUGCUUAACACAUGCAAGUCGAACGGAAAGGCCCUGCUUUUGUGGGGUGCUCGAGUGGCGAACGGGUGAGUAACACGUGAGUAACCUGCCCUUGACUUUGGGAUAACUUCAGGAAACUGGGGCUAAUACCGGAUAGGAGCUCCUGCUGCAUGGUGGGGGUUGGAAAGUUUCGGCGGUUGGGGAUGGACUCGCGGCUUAUCAGCUUGUUGGUGGGGUAGUGGCUUACCAAGGCUUUGACGGGUAGCCGGCCUGAGAGGGUGACCGGCCACAUUGGGACUGAGAUACGGCCCAGACUCCUACGGGAGGCAGCAGUGGGGAAUAUUGCACAAUGGGCGGAAGCCUGAUGCAGCAACGCCGCGUGCGGGAUGACGGCCUUCGGGCUGUAAACCGCUUUCGCCUGUGACGAAGCGUGAGUGACGGUAAUGGGUAAAGGAGCACCGGCUAACUACGUG
rnacentral:rRNA from 1 species